UACAGAGGGUGCGAGCGUUGUCCGGAAUCACUGGGCGUAAAGCGUCCGCAGGUGGCUAUGUAAGUCUGCUGUUAAAGAGUGAGGCUCAACCUCAUAAGAGCAGUGGAAACUACAUGGCUAGAGUGCGUUCGGGGCAGAGGGAAUUCCUGGUGUAGCGGUGAAAUGCGUAGAGAUCAGGAAGAACACCGGUGGCGAAAGCGCUCUGAUAGGCCGCAACUGACACUGAGGGACGAAAGCUAGGGGAGCGAAUGGG
rnacentral:rRNA from 1 species